AGCUCAGGACGGUCCUCAUCAUGCUCUGCCUCCAGAGAGAGAGGCCCCAGCAAGGCCAAGUCCCUCCACGUCCAUGCCAGACAGAACAAUUCCAGCUUUUCCGCUAAGGACAGAGAUAGUCCUCACCACUCUGACGCUGACCAUGCUCGUCGUCGUUCCAGGAGCUACUCUCCCAUCAGGAAAAGGAGACGAGACUCUCCCAGCUUCAUGGAGGCUCGCAGGAUCACCAGCGCCCGGAAGCGGCCUAUCCCGUACUACCGCCCCAGCCCUUCCUCCUCCAGUUCCAUGUCAAGCCCCUCCCAUUCAGGGAGGAGUCGCAGCCGCAGCUACAGCUGCAGUCACAGCCGCACCAGGAGUCACAGCCACUCACGCAGCCCCAGGAGCCACAGCAACUACAGUCGCAGCAGCUAUGAAAGCCCCGGCUUCUGAUGAGAGAGAGAC